rnacentral:tRNA from 1 species
UGCGGCGGCUCGGGCGGUCCGCGGCGGUUCCGGAGCCUGACGGGUUCCGGUUGGGUCUGGCGUUCAUGGCGUCGUCGCCCCGGC